rnacentral:rRNA from 1 species
GAUGAACGCUGGCGGCGUGCCUAAUACAUGCAAGUCGAGCGAAUGGAUUAAGAGCUUGCUCUUAUGAAGUUAGCGGCGGACGGGUGAGUAACACGUGGGUAACCUGCCCAUAAGACUGGGAUAACUCCGGGAAACCGGGGCUAAUACCGGAUAACAUUUUGAACCGCAUGGUUCGAAAUUGAAAGGCGACUUCGGCUGUCACUUAUGGAUGGACCCGCGUCGCAUUAGCUAGUUGGUGAGGUAACGGGCCACCAAGGCAACGAUGCGUAGCCGACCUGAGAGGGUGAUCGGCCACACUGGGACUGAGACACGGCCCAGACUCCUACGGGAGGCAGCAGUAGGGAAUCUUCCGCAAUGGACGAAAGUCUGACGGAGCAACGCCGCGUGAGUGAUGAAGGCUUUCGGGUCGUAAAACUCUGUUGUUAGGGAAGAACAAGUGCUAGUUGAAUAAGCUGGCACCUUGACGGUACCUAACCAGAAAGCCACGGCUAACUACGUGCCAGCCGCCGCAGUAA